AGUAUCUGAAGGAGAGAUUUACAGCUUCAAUGUAACAGAUGGAGGAGUUUAUUACUGUGUGGCCACUAAUGAUCUGGGUAAUCAGACAUCAGCAGAGAUUAAUGUGACUGUUGGAGGAGACACACUGUGGCUACUUCCUGGAGUAAUCAUUGGGAUCAUUGUUCUCUUACUUAUAAUUCUCCUCUGCUUGAUCAUCUUUGUUUGGUCGUUAAAGUCAAAGCAACAAACUCAACAACAGAUUCUGAUUCAAAUAAAUGAAGAGCAGAAGGUUGAUGAACCAGCAAGUAAAAAGGAAGAAGAGGAAGAAAACAUCCAUUAUGGAGAGAUCAGCUUCUCCACACUGGCAUAUGAAGCAUCGUCUAACUCAGUGCGGGACAGUGGACAGCAGCAGCAUACAGUGUACGCACAGAUCAAAAAGCGAGAAAAAAGCUUAAAACAAAGGGCUCACGGCCAAGAGGAACUCUACGCUGAGGUGCAGAAAAAAUGAGAACUGUUGUGAAAUAAUUUUAAAUUAACAUAUAAAUACACACAAGGUGCCUGUAAAUGUGUCAUUUUCACUGCCUACAGUUCAGUGAAGUAAAACAACUAAAAUCCCAUUCCAUGGCUUUUUUAUGUCCUAUUUUCCAUGCUAACUUUACACGGCUGUUUUCAGAUGAUUAACUGUGUUCAUGGCAAAUGUGACUAAAUGAGUAAGUGAGAAAUUGCAGCACUCCAAAAAAAGAACUAGUUUUACACAACAACAGAUGCUGCUCUGCAAAACUAAAACUUAAAACCUCAACAUACUGUCGCUUUUUUUUAAAGUAUAUUUUAAGUUAUUAUGUUCCUAAAGUAUUUGCAUGCUGCUACGCUGUGUGAGCUGUUGUUUGAUUUUGUCAGUUGCAUUUCUGAAGUUCUGCUUCCAAAUUGUUUUUGUGGCACGCCCCCUGAACUAACAGGUCAAGAUGGCAGCACUGAAUCUAAACAGAAUUAAAACUGUAAACUUUGAAUCUGAACUACCAUUGUUCUGUAUUUUGUCUCACUAAAUAAGCCAUACGCAGAGCAUUGAUCAGGCUCUAUCCGUUAACGUGUUUUUUAGAAGUGUUAUGCUGCAUCACUCCAGAUACACAUCAGUCCAAGUUCCAACAUCUGAGUUCCCAGAUGUCUAAAAUGCAGCACUGGAACCACAAACCAGUAUUCCCAUUCAUGCUGGUGGGCAUUUUCUUUUGGCUUCUCCAGGGUAAGUUUAACACUGCCGAUCUGCAUCGGGUAAUCUAAAUGUUCUCCUGGAGAGUUGGAAAGGCAAAGAGGAAAUGGAAAUGCACGCAAUAGGAGUGUCUUUCUCUGGCCUUUCCAUGUAUAGUUAUCAGUUUUCACUGCCAGGGUAGUUACAGCAUAAUGCAAAAAUGUUCAGUGCAAAACCUUUUGUUCCCCACUACCUGAACAUGGCAUUCAAAUUAAAAUUCCACUAAGCUGCUGUGAAUUAAAGAGGCAUUUAGCAGCCUCACCCUCUUAGAGAGCAAAAUCAAAAACCUUUUUAAACUCUACAAUGAACUGGUUUUGGUAAUCAUUGGAUUUGUGCUCAGGCAAUGCUUGGGUCAGUUUCAGUGCAGAAGUGCAUUUCAGUGUUUGUGUAUACGGUAACUGUUCAGCUGGUCUGGCCAUCAGUGCUCAACUAACAACCUGUGACUCUGCUAGUACUUCACAACACUGAUGUGUAACAGCUGUGUGUACAGCUAAUGUUUGGGCAGAUCACUCUGUCAUAAUCCCAGUAAAUAUGAACCCAAAUGCACGACUCAGACACCAGAAACAAUUUAACAGUUUAUUUUUGGAAAACUAAGAACUUACAUAGUCUGGGCUUCUGAACUGUCGAGAAAACAGGAAACCAGAAACAGAAAAAUUCAAUGUGAAUCUAUGUGAAAAAUAGUUAAAGGUUAGACUAUUUUUAUCUGUUCGCCACCGGUCCAUUCAUCCAUUCCAAAAAGGGUUUUGUUUGGGGGUUUUUGCAUAUUGCAAUGUUUUGGUUUAAUCAAUAAAAAAUGACUAUCCAUUAUGUUCAAUUGUUGGUGAAGUCAUCUUAUUUAAGUAUUUAACAUAUUUUAUCAUAUGGUCCAGUGUUGUCUUUGUUACUAUAACAUAAAUAUAAUGUAAUUUACAUGGCAUGUACAGACUUUGGCUCUGACUGCUGAAAACGGGAAGUGCUCAGUAAUGUUAUCUUUAAUACUUUCUUAAAAAUGUAUUUUUAGCCAUUAAAACUGGAUAAGUGAAAAAAAAAUUAAAAUCCUUUCAGCGUUGGGUUACUAGAAAGGGGGAAAAACUCAAGAAAAGCAUUCAUUCUUUAUUAUUGUCUUAUCUGUUGUUUCAUUUCUUCUUUUGUUUUGUUUUAAUGUUGAGUUAAGUCAAUGUGACAAUGUGUUGUUUGUUUUGAAGAGUUAAAAAGCUCUUCAUAUCCAUAUUUGAUGUCACUUUUUGGAUUUCAGUGCCAUCUGCUUCAGCUCUUCAUUCAGUGUGUAAAGAGGAAGCAUGAAGACACAGAGCUUUCUACAUGAUGUUGACUGAUUUAGGUAGAUUUAUUUUCUAUCAGAGCCAAAUGAUAUAGGUUUGAGUGUUGGGAAAACGGCCAUUAAGCUGCACUCUGGGACUGCAGGAAAUUUUCCUUCUCAAAAACUGUACUUAUGCAUCCUAAUGAAUUACUAAACAGAUGUUGUAUAUUUUUGUAUAUUUUUUUGCAGCAAAUGUCUUUAAGAAAGCAAAGGAUUACACAAUAUCAGGCACCAUGUAACAUUUCAACAAAUACUGUGAUGUAAUGCAGUGCGACUGAAUUUGAGUGCUCUGAAUUUGAUUAGAGCGUUCAUGUAUGUUUAUGAAAGGCUGACUAAAUCACUCAGAGAUCAUAGUAUGGCUUAAAUGGGACCCCCCCAAAAAUGCUCAUUUAAAAAAUGAGCAUUACUUUCUUUUUUUCUUCACUUCUUUAGGCAGGAUGGUUUCAUGAGAGUUGUUCCCUGCCUGAAGGGUUUUGGUGAAAAGUCAUUAAACAGCCAGCAGAUGGAGCAGUGUGCUUUUCUGUGUGGUAGAUGUUGCAAAAAUACUUGUACAGCAGUUGAAGAGCGAUGAGAGCAAACAGGACUUUUCCAUCACAUGUUAUGCUGCUCCACAUGACUGACCUGUGUGGCAUGUUUGCCAAAGUGAAUGAUUCUCUAUGCUAUUCUAUGCUAUCCUCCUUUCAAAAAUAACAUAACUUAAUUUGAGCUGUAGCAUUCAGGUUAGCUCCUUAAAUAUUGUUAUUGGAUUUAUCGAGUUAAGUACUGCAUUUCAUUCAUCCCUCUCUUUGUAUGUGUGCGCAAUGAUGUAGUUGUGGUUGUGUGGGACGUUUCUGCACCUCUUUGUGUGACGCAUCAAGCUGAUUUGUAUUUGUGUUCAUUUUAAUUUUACAGUUAAUGAUACAGAAGUAAUGUUUAUGGAGAAGGCACACUACUCCUGUAGUGAAAAUAAAAUAGGAAACAGGAAAAAUUUUAGAAGAAUGAAAUUGUUAAAAUUAGGAAAAUGUACUUAAAGUAUUAAAAGAAAGAAUUACAAUAAUACUGCUGUCGUUGAUGAAACAAUGAGACUUUUCUCUGUUUAGAUAUUUUAAUGUUAAAGCAAACAGACCUGUGAUGCUUUUGGUUUUCUGUCUUUCUUUAUUCAGUCAGUCUGCUUUUUAUAUUCCCAUCAUGCACUCACCUUUCUCUAGAUUCACCUCACCUGUCCCUCCACUUACAUAGUAACCUGUUUAUUAUUGUAGGGUCUACCUUACAAUGUAAGGUGCCUUGAGGUGACCGUAGUUGUUAUUUUUCACUUUAUAAAUAAAAUUGAUUUUUUUCCACUUUCCUCAUUCUCUCAUUAGGUAUAUAGUAUUUUUAGCAGCUUAUGUCAUCAUUUCCUGUCUUCUGCAUUAUUGUUGUGCCUCAGCUUUCCAGUAUUUUGCUUUAUGAGUUAAUGUUGCCAUGCUCAUGAACUUCUUCUUUGUUUGUCUGUAUCAAAUUUUUGUUUUGUUAUA